GAAGAGAGAGUUCAACAGUACGUGAAACCGUUCGGGGGUAAACGGACAGAGCCCGUGAAUCCGGGCGACAGAAUUCAAAAUCGACGAUUCGCGUCGUCGGUUUGAUAUUUCUGUCGCCGUUUGUAACUAUACGGACGUCGCGACCCGUUUGGUGUCGGUCUUAGGAGGCGCGCUAAAGUUCGUUGACGCGUUGUCGAAGCCGUUUCGGCGGUCUAGACGCGCGUCUCGAGUACGCGUUCUUUAUUUCUGGCUGACUCGCCAGACGGUAAGCGUAACGGUGUCUGCGGCGGCCAUUCUUCACGGAUGUAGCGUCGUCCGUCAGUACCGGUCUGCGACGAAUCUUCGGGCCUCUUUCCGACCCGUCUUGAAACACGGACCAAGGAGUCUAACGUGCGCGCGAGUCGCGGGGUGUCGAGCAGUCGGCUUUCGGGCCGUCUGCUCGUUACAAUACGAAACCCGUCUCGUUUGACGAAAGGCGCAAUGAAAGUAAAGCGGGGAAGAUGGCGUUACCGAGUACACGUUUCGCGCUCGCUUGUAGCGCGACCGGUCGCCCGCAUUCCCAGGGCGUCCCAACGGCCCGGCGGCGUUGCGGAUCGUCGUCUCUUCGGGGGCGGCGGUCGGGCGUCGUCGAACCGGGGCGCACCUAUAGCGUGCACGUUGGUACCCGAAAGAUGGUGAACUAUGCCCGGCCAGGAUGAAGUCAGGGGAAACCCUGAUGGAGGUCCGCAGCGAUUCUGACGUGCAAAUCGAUCG
rnacentral:rRNA from 1 species